GCCGCCAUCCCACGAUGUCGCCGCCGUCAUCCCAUGAUGUGCCGCCGCCCCACGAUAUCGUCGCCGCCGCCAACCCACGAUGUCUCCGCGGCAGCCGCGGACUCCUUCCUGACGCUCAGGGGGCUGCGGUAGAACUACGCUUGGCUGCAGUGCGUGUUCCCAACGCCAUUGUCGACCAUCGUCGCGCCACCGUGCUGGCACUGCGACGGGCUGCUGGAGGUGAUGGCCAUGAGAUCUAAAGUUCACCUCAUGGUGCAAUCGCUCUAAUAAAAAGGACCACGAUGAUCAAUCGAUCCCCAUGUCAUCCUCAACUUCAGAUUUCCAUCCAAUUCAGCAAUCGAUUUGAAAAAAGCGGAGGAGGAGGCGGCCGCAGUAGGCAGUAAGGCUGCCGAGUGAAGGGACUACAGGGGAUUGCUGGCGCCACGAUCCCUGCUCUGUUUUCAAAUCCUUUCAAUUCAUCACAGAAGAUACAUGCAUACUGGCUUGAUCCCUAAUGUUUGGACAAGGAAAAAAAGUCGGUUGUGUACAUGUGUAUCCAAAGUGGUCCUUUUGACUUGAUUGUGUGAUGUACGAAGAGAAAGCAUGCAAGUUGCCAUGGUCUGGAUAAUGACAUUGCUUCCAGUGGCACCAAAGAUAUAUAUGACAGGCCUGACUCCGGACAGAAGUUCCCUUUGAUGUUUCUAGGAGGUUCAAAUUAUAGAUGUUUUCAGAUGACCCUAUGUUAGCCAACCGAAUUAGUUUUUUUACAUGGCAACGAAAUUAGCUGAUGUCAUUUCGUUUGUACCAGAAUUGAAUGAUGCGUGUGUUUUUCUUGAGUACAUGCUACAUAUCGGA